ACAUCUGUUAAUUCAGCAAGCACUAACAAGUGAUGGAGAUUAAAAAAAAAAAAGGAAUGAGCCACAGCUUUGCCAUCAAAGACUUCAGCGUCUCUUAGGGGAAACAGAUGAACAAAGAUUUCUAACAAGAGAGAGAAUAUCUUCCCGAUUCGACUCCCAUAUGUCAAGAGACUCAGAUGUGACUCAUAUUUGCCUGCCAGGAGGAGGAAAAAGAAAUACACUGUCCAGGAGCAACUCCUUAGUGGGUACCCACCAGAAGUGGUCUCCAAACAAGGGUCUCGCUGAUCCCAAAGAUGAAGAGACAAAACCGGCCUUGCUUGCCCCCAAGGUGAGACUUCGGAUCUGUGGUGAGGGAGGGAAAAAUUCCAGCAGACCCAAGAGGAAGGCUACAGAAGAAAGGACAGAAGCGUGGAGAGAAAUUCUAAGCAGGAGGCUGGGGAAGAAGGAAGAGCUUCAGGUCACUGGGUCACCCCACCAGGAGAUAGUCCCCUUGUGGCCUUGAGACUUAUGCAAUGGGCAGAUGCAAUCUGGGUACCUAAGGCAAGGAUUGCCCUUAUUCUGGCCAUGACAUUUAACACCUAAUUGCAGCAAUAACCCCUCUUUUCCACCUGGAGAAAGCUUCCUGGCCCCUCUUUUUCACUUGUGGGUAAGUCUGGCCAAGAGCAGGGUGAAGAAACCCAUAGUCUAACAC
ensembl:lncRNA BRWD1-AS1 BRWD1 antisense RNA 1